AUUGAACGCUGGCGGCGUGCCUAACACAUGCAAGUCGAGCGGUAACAGGUGUAGCAAUACAUGCUGACGAGCGGCGGACGGGUGAGUAACGCUUGGGAAUCUGCCUAUUAGUGGGGGACAACCCGGGGAAACUCGGGCUAAUACCGCAUACGCACUACGGUGGAAAGCCGGGGACCGCAAGGCCUGGCGCUAACAGAUGAGCCCAAGUCGGA
rnacentral:rRNA from 1 species